rnacentral:snRNA from 1 species
GUUUGUGAAGGUGAUCUGGCUGUGACAUCUGUCACCCCAUUGAUUGCCAGGGUUGAUCUGGCUGGCUAGGCGGGUGUCCCCUUCCUCCCUCACCGCUCCAUGUGUGUCCCUCCCGAAACUGCGAAACUGCGUGCUCGGUGGAAGAGGAUGAUCUUCCCCGAUAGAGGAGAGGACUGUUCUUCGGUCAAGGGUAUACAAGUAGCUGUGCUCCCCUUUUAUAACCUCCUCUGCUAUAACAAGCUCUUAAGGUCCAUUUGUAGGAGAACAUCGGGUAGUCAAGCUUCCAAGACUCCAGACACAUCCAAAAUGAGGUGCUGCACAUGGCAGUCUGCCUUUCUU